rnacentral:lncRNA from 1 species
CUUCAGGAAUGUGAAUGAGGUGGGGAUCCCUAUGGAAAUUGCACAUCGGAUCACAUUUGAGGAGAGAGUUAGCGUCCACAACAUUGGAUAUCUACAAGAGUUGGUGGACAACAAGAUGUGCUUAAGCUAUACCCAAGGUUCUACUACCUAUUCUCUGAGGGACGGUUCCAAGGGGCAUACAGUCCUUAAACCCGGGCAGAUUGUGCAUCGCAGGGUCAUGGAUGGAGAUGUUGUGUUUAUCAACCGUCCUCCCACAACACAUAAGCAUUCUCUGCAAGCACUUCGAGUGUAUGUUCAUGAAGACAACACGGUGAAGAUCAAUCCCCUGAUGUGUAGCCCUCUCAGUGCUGAUUUUGAUGGUGAUUGUGUCCAUCUGUUCUACCCCCAGUCUCUCACAGCUAAGGCAGAGGUACUGGAGCUCUUUUCAGUGGAUAAGCAACUUCGCAGCUCACAUACUGGGCAGCUGAUUCUGCAGCUGGGUUUGGAUUCUUUGCUGUCUCUGAGGGUUAUGAUGGAGCAGGUGUUUUUGGACAAAGCAUCUGCUCAACAGUUAGCUAUGUAUGGCUCUCGAUCUCUCCCACCACCAGCUGUAGUGAAGUCCAGUAAAUCUGGCCCGGCUUGGACAUUUUUCCAGAUAUUGCAGCUUGCCUUUCCUGAGCGUCUUAGUUGCAGAGGGGACGGGUUCAUAGUUGGUGGAAGUGAUUUGCUGUCCUUUGAUUUUGGGGUUGAUGCGUUGGCGUCUAUAAUCAAUGGAAUUGUAACCGCAAUCAUGGUGGAGAAGGGUCCAAAGGAAGCACUGGCAUUCUUUGAUUCACUGCAGCCGCUACUGAUGGAACAUCUAGAUCCUCAGGGAUUUAGUUUAAGUCUGGAAGACUUGUCCAUGUCUAGGGAAGACAUGGGAGUUAUUCACAAUCUCAUCGUCCGGGAGAUUUCUCCUAUGGUGUCUAGGUUGAGGUUAUCGUAUGAGGACGAACUCCAACUAGAGAACAGCAUCCAGAAAGUGAAGGAAGUGGCUGCUAAUUUCAUGCUGAAGUCGUAUUCGAUGAGGAACUUGAUCGACAUCAAGAGCAACUCAGCAAUAAACAAGCUGGUGCAGCAGAUUGGCUUCCUGGGUCUUCAGCUUUCAGACAAGAAGAAGUUGUACACGAAGACUCUGGUGGAAGACAUGGCUCAGUUUUAUAAGAAAAAGUAUGUCAGUACUUCUUCCUCUGGAGAUUUUGGAAUUGUGAAGGGCUGCUUUUUUCACGGACUUGAUCCUUAUGAAGAGAUGGCUCAUUCAGUUGCGGCAAGGGAGGUAAUUGUCCGCUCUUCAAGGGGAUUAGCUGAGCCUGGUACACUCUUCAAGAAUCUGAUGGCUGUUCUGCGAGACAUAGUCAUUACCAACGAUGGAACUGUAAGAAAUACAUGCAGUAACUCCAUCGUGCAGUUCAAGUAUGAGCUGAGUUCUGACAAUGAGAAUCAAGGUUUAUUUGAAGCGGGAGACCCUGUUGGAGUAUUGGCAGCAACCGCCAUGUCAAAUCCCGCCUAUAAAGCGGUGCUUGAUUCUUCCCCAAAUAGCAACUCUUCAUGGGAACUAAUGAAGGUAAAGUGUUCUCGGUGCUGUCUUCUCAAUAAAGCUUUGUUCUUCUGUAUUGUUGUAUGCUUAUACUGCUUUCUGUUUUUGUUCUUCUACCAGGAAGUUCUACUCUGCAAAGUCAACUUCCAGAACACCACCAAUGAUCGGCGCGUGAUUCUUUAUCUGAAUGAAUGCCGCUGUGGGAAAAAGUACUGCCAGGAGAAUUCUGCUUACACAGUUAGGAACAAGCUGAAGAAAGUUAGUCUGAAAGAUACUGCAGUGGAGUUUCUAGUCGAGUAAGUACUGGUCUUAGUAAAUUAUGUUGUUCGUUUUAGUGUUUUUUUUUUUGCUUUUACUUAUCCUCUUUGCGUUGGUCUAUGUCUUUACUUGCAUGCAGAUACAGAAAGCAACAAGCGAUUUCAGAAAUUUUUGGAAUGGAUAUAUGCCUACAUGGCCAUAUUCAUCUUAAUAAGGUUUGAAUUCUAAUCUCUGUACUGUUAAAUCUAUCUGGAAGACUCUACCUGCCAUUGAAUCUUUUUAAUUCUUGCUUGUAAUUGGUGUUUUGGUUUACUAGACAUUGUUGGAAGGGUGGAACAUCAGCAUGCAGGACAUACUUCAGAGGUGCGAGGAUGCAAUCAACUCACUAGUCCAAAAAAAGAAGAAGAAAGCUGAGGACUUUAAGAAAAUGAAUUUGUCUGUCAGGUAUGUCCAUGAUAUGCUUUUCCUAUGAACAUCGCCUCUGGUUGAAUUAUUGAUGGUGGUUUCUCGCUUACUAGUUCUUUCUGUCCAUCAUCUUUGUUCUUUGUCUUAUUAUGUAUACUUGUCUAGCUUCUUAAACUUUGUGCUCUGAUUAUGUUUAAUUUCUUCUCGAAUGAACAGUGAAUGCUGCUCUUUCCGAGGUCCAGGCUCGAGCAAAGAUUCUGAUAUGCCGUGCUUGAUGUUUUCCUCCUACAAUGCCACUGAUCCUGAUCUGGAAAGAACUCUGGAUGUUCUCUGCAAUACAAUAUACCCAGUUCUGCUCGAAACAGUGAUCAAAGGUACUUGAAGAAUGCUUUCAUUAUAACUGUCAAUCACUUUGAUUUAUCGAACAGGGUAGAGUCUUUCUUUUGAAAUCUUUCUAGUUAGAUUGAUUACCUGACGGAUAAAAGAUUUAAAAUCAUUUUCCUCAACUAGUCUGAAUGAGUUGUCUUCCACGUUGUAGUUGUGCUAUCAAGCUUAUGUUACAGUAGACUAAUGUUGUUUUAUAAUACUUCUGUCUCUAGGUGAUCCACGGAUUGCCUCAGCAAAUAUAAUCUGGAAUAGUCCAGAAACGACAACCUGGAUCCGGAGUCGUCAUGCAUCCCGCCGAGGGGAAUGGGUAUUGGAUGUCACCGUUGAAAAAUCUGAUGUCAAGCAAAGUGGUGAUGCAUGGAGGGUUGUGAUUGACUCAUGUCUUUCAGUUCUUCAUCUAAUAGACACAAAACGGUCGAUCCCAUAUUCCAUAAAGCAAGUUCAAGAGCUGCUUGGUUUGUCCUGCGCCUUUGAGCAAGCUGUUCAGGUACUCAAUUACUUUACUCCUGAUCCGUGCACUUAAAGCAUGAUACUUUGUCAUAUUUAACGUAUGGUAUCAUAUGUGCUCAUUGUUUUGCAGCGUCUCUCAGCUUCAGUGAGAAAGGUCUCCAAAGGAGUUCUGAAAGAACAUAUCAUUCUCGUGGCAAACAACAUGACCUGUUCAGGGGAUAUGCUAGGUUUCAAUUCUGGAGGUUACAAGGCUUUGACUCGGUCCUUGAACAUCAAAGCUCCAUUCACAGAAGCAACUCUUAUUGUUAGUCUUCUGAUGCUUGAAUGUCCAAUUACAAAGUAUUUUCUAUACUGGCCAUCCAUACUAACAAGAGUUACUUCUUAUGCUUUCAGGCGCCAAGGAAAUGUUUCGAGAAAGCAGCUGAGAAAUGCCAUAAAGAUUCUCUAUCAACAGUAGUUGGAUCUUGUUCUUGGGGAAAACGCGUGGAUGUUGGUACAGGUUCACAGUUUGAGCUUCUAUGGAACAAAAAAGAGGUAGACAUUCUCACCAGAUAUUGAGUUUUGUCUUCUAAAUUUUUUUCGUGCAAUCUGAUGUUCUUUAUUUGUCAACUUAUUUGCAGACUGGUCUGGAGAAUGAUGAUGAAACUGAUGUAUUCAGCUUUCUCCAGAUGGUAAGAUCCACCAAAACUGCAGAUGCAUACGUUUCUUCCCCUGGUUUUGAUGUCACAGAGGAAGAAAUGGCUGAAUGGGCUGAGUCUCCUGAGCGAGACUCUGCUCUUGGAGAGCCCAAGUUUGAUGACAGUGCUGAGUUUCAAAAUCUACUUGAUGAAGGCAAGGCAUCGGAAUCCAAGUGGGACAACGGUUCUCUUUGGGAGAAUGGUUGCAGUAGUGGCUCAGAAUGGGGAGUCUCGAAAAACGCAGGUGGUGAGGAGAACACGCAGUCUGGUUGGGGAAAGGCUGCAAACAUUGAGAAGGAAGAUGCUUCGUCUGGUUGGAACAGUAAAAAGGAUGCUCAAGAAGCUACCAAUACAGAUUCAUGGGGCGCUUGGGGAUCAAAGACAAAAGAUGAUGCUGAAAAUGCAACACCGAACUGGGGAACAAAACCAGCUCAAAAUGAUUCUGUUGUCAUAGAAAACGGCGAGCCUUCUUCUGACGUUUGGGGACCCAAAGCUGUUUCAGACAAACCUUGGGGUAAAAAGAACUCUGAAACUGAGCCAGCUCCUGCUGCAUGGGGUAAAACGAACUCUGAAAGUGAAUCAGCUGCUGCUGCUUGGGGCUCUACUAACAAAAAGAACACGGGAACUGAAUCAGACGCUGCUGGUUGGGGCUCUACUAACAAAAAGAACCCGGAAACUGAAUCAGAUGCUGGUGCUUGGGGUUCUGGGGCCAAAAACAAAGAAACAGAACCAGCUCCUGCUGCAUGGGGUUCCUGGGGCAAAAAGAGCUCAGAAGCUGUAUCAGGUGGUGCGGAUUGGGGUAAUAGGGGCAAACGGGUUUCUGAAACUGAAUCAGGUGCUGGUGGUUGGGCUUCCCGGAACCCGAGCUUGGAAACUCAGUCAGGUGGUGCUACUUGGGGUUCCAGGGAUAAAUCUAAAUUUGAAACUGAAUCAGGUGGUGCUGCUUGGGGCUCGCAGGCUAAAAAUAAUUUUGAGAGUGAGUCAGGCUCGGGUGCUGCUGCUUGGGGUAAGAAGAAACCAGAAACUGAAUCAGGUGGUGCUGCUUGGGGUUCUCAGGCUAAAAACAAAUCUGAGAUUGAGUCAGGCUCAGGUGCCGCUGCUUGGGGUACUUGGGACAAGAAGAAAUCAGAAACCGAAUCAGGUGGUGGUGCUUGGGGUUCUCAGGCUAAAAAGAACUCUGAAACUGAGUCAGGCGCAUGUGCUUCUACUUGGGGUGCUUGGGACAAGAAGAAACCAGAAACUGAAUCAGGUGGUGAUGGUGCUGCUUGGGGUUCUCAGGCCAAAAAUAAUUCUGAAACUGAGUCAGGCUCAGGUGCUGCUGCUUGGGGUAAGAAGAAACCAGAAACUGAAUCAGGUGGUGGUGCUGCUUGGGGUUCUCAGGCCAAAAAGAACUCUGAAAGUCAAUUAGGUGCUGCUAAUUGGGGUUCUAAGGACACAAACAAUUCGGAAAAUGGAUCAGAUUCUGCUGCUUGGGGUAAAAAGAAGAAUUCAGAAGCUGAACCAACUUCUGUUGCUUGGUGAGAGUUAGCGUCCACAACAUUGGAUAUCUACAAGAGUUGGUGGACAACAAGAUGUGCUUAAGCUAUACCCAAGGUUCUACUACCUAUUCUCUGAGGGACGGUUCCAAGGGGCAUACAGUCCUUAAACCCGGGCAGAUUGUGCAUCGCAGGGUCAUGGAUGGAGAUGUUGUGUUUAUCAACCGUCCUCCCACAACACAUAAGCAUUCUCUGCAAGCACUUCGAGUGUAUG